rnacentral:rRNA from 1 species
UACAGAGGGCUCAAGCGUUGUUCGGAUUCAUUGGGCGUAAAGGGUGCGUAGGUGGCGCCGUAAGUCAGGUGUGAAAUUUCGGAGCUUAACUCCGAAACUGCAUUUGAUACUGCGGUGCUUGAGGACUGGAGAGGAGACUGGAAUUCACGGUGUAGCAGUGAAAUGCGUAGAUAUCGUGAGGAAGACCAGUGGCGAAGGCGGGUCUCUGGACAGUUCCUGACACUGAGGCACGAAGGCCAGGGGAGCAAACGGG